UGAUCGCAUGGUUUGCUGGGAAAGCUUUCGCGGUAUGGGAUGGGGUCGCGUCCUAUCAGCUUGACGGCGGGGUAACGGCCCACCGUGGCUUCGACGGGUAGCCGGCCUGAGAGGGCGACCGGCCACAUUGGGACUGAGAUACGGCCCAGACUCCUACGGGAGGCAGCAGUGGGGAAUAUUGCACAAUGGGCGCAAGCCUGAUGCAGCGACGCCGCGUGAGGGAUGGAGGCCUUCGGGUUGUAAACCUCUUUUAUCGGGGAGCAAGCGAGAGUGAGUUUACCCGUUGAAUAAGCACCGGCUAACUACGUGCCAGCAGCCGCGGUAAUACGUAGGGUGCAAGCGUUAUCCGGAAUUAUUGGGCGUAAAGGGCUCGUAGGCGGUUCGUCGCGUCCGGUGUGAAAGUCCAUCGCUUAACGGUGGAUCCGCGCCGGGUACGGGCGGGCUUGAGUGCGGUAGGGGAGACUGGAAUUCCCGGUGUAACGGUGGAAUGUGUAGAUAUC
rnacentral:rRNA from 1 species